rnacentral:misc_RNA from 1 species
AAUAUAAUAGUGAUAUUAUAUUC